rnacentral:rRNA from 1 species
CGAACGCUGGGCGGCGUGCCUAAUACAUGCAAGUAGGACGCACAGUCUAUACCGUAGCUUGCUACACCAUAGGCUGUGAGUUGCGAACGGGUGAGUAACGCGUAGGUAACCUGCCUAUUAGAGGGGGAUAACUAUUGGAAACGAUAGCUAAUACCGCAUAACAGUAUGUAACACAUGUUAGAUGCUUGAAAGAUGCAAUUGCAUCGCUAGUAGAUGGACCUGCGUUGUAUUAGCUAGUAGGUAGGGUAAUGGCCUACCUAGGCAACGAUACAUAGCCGACCUGAGAGGGUGAUCGGCCACACUGGGACUGAGACACGGCCCAGACUCCUACGGGAGGCAGCAGUAGGGAAUCUUCGGCAAUGGGGGGAACCCUGACCGAGCAACGCCGCGUGAGUGAAGAAGGUUUUCGGAUCGUAAAGCUCUGUUGUUAAGGAAGAACGAGUGUGAGAAUGGAAAGUUCAUA